UAGUUGUAUUUGCAUCUGUACCUUCCCAUUUCCUUGGCUGCCUUCUGAUUUCUGGCCGUCUAGAAAAAAUCAUGUACCUACACUCCUACAACAAUUGCAGGUAAACAGAUUUUACAUGAUCAACAUGAAUAAUACUCGAAUAGUACAAUCUGCUGUAACACUCACGUUUAAAAGUCCAAAAAGAUGAUCAACCUAAGGCAUGAAUCAGCUAGUGUAAAUUCACGUAGUAGUGACGGAACCAGAAAUUAAAAUGACCCGGGACUGAAAUGUAAAAUAAUAAGUUUUUACUAUUCUUUUCAGAUAUAAAAUUUCAUUGACUUUUCUGACUCGAACGAGAAUUCAGCCCAGAUUAGCCUCUCACCGGUUUCAGUCAGUGCUGAAUUCUAAUUUCAAUAGUAAUUAUGAGAAUUUUUGUGUAUUUAGCACAAUUUGAAAUUCUAAUCUGGUUCAUUUAAGACAAAACCCUUUGGGCGAAGUAUUACUGUAUUAGCCCACACACGGAGACUUAGCAGUUAGCACACAUUGAAUCUCUAUAUAACACAUGCAAAAAUAACACUGCACUUCAACUCAAAAAUAUUUCACACACUUACCUUCUGCCUUCUCCUUGAUCAUUUACAACUAGCUAGGCAAGAAAUAGAAAUGUGGAAGCUGAUCAAUCUCUCAUUACUUGUCAUGGUCUUAAUGUUUUCGGACUUGGAUAAGGCGACAGGGCGCCCGGAGCCAAAUUUUCCUACCAUCCCAAAUUUACCAUUUAUACCAAGCCUGCCACCUCUAGUUUCACAAGUUCCUGGUCUGCCCACCAUUCCUGAACCUCUGUUUCCAGGUUCUUUGAGCCCAAUCACCUCCCCUGUUCGCGGUCUACCGGGCUUUCCCAGCUUCUUUGGUCCUCCCCAAGCCCCUCCUAGCCAUGAUUAACAGAUGUAGCUGCUAGUGUUUAGUUGGCUUGUUAAGUGCAGGAUUUGUGUUUGUGACUUUGUGGAGCACAAUGUUGUUUCUUGGUAAUAAAUUUAUCUAUGGAUGUAGUUUGUUUUCAAAUGUGGUUCCUUGUUAUCCCUGUAUCCUACAGGCAAACCUCUCCAUUAUGUUUUGUGUGGUGUUUUUUGUUUUCUCAUAUUAAUGUCAUAUUUUUUAUGUUUGAAUUCGAACGAGACACAUAAUGUAUUGUGUUAUUACAGAAUUUCAGAGAAAAUAAGUUAUUUUUCUUAAUCUUUUCAAGAAUAGGAAGAAUUUUUAGAAUAAAUAUGUUCAAGAAGAAACAAUAUAACAUAUCGUGUUAUUAUAAGAAUUUAGAGAAAAUAGAGAAAAUGAG
rnacentral:lncRNA from 1 species